rnacentral:rRNA from 1 species
ACUCCUACGGGAGGCAGCAGUGGGGAAUAUUGCACAAUGGGGGAAACCCUGAUGCAGCCAUGCCGCGUGUGUGAAGAAGGCCUUCGGUUGUAAAGCACUUUCAGUAGGGAGGAAGGUAGUGUAGUUAACACCUGCACCUAUUUGACGUUACCUACAGAAGAAGCACCGGCUAACUCCGUGCCAGCAGCCGCGGUAAUACGGAGGGUGCGAGCGUUAAUCGGAAUUACUGGGCGUAAAGCGCAUGCAGGCGGCCUGUUAAGUCAGAUGUGAAAGCCCGGGGCUUAACCUCGGAAUUGCAUUUGAAACUGGCAGGCUAGAGUCUUGUAGAGGGGGGUAGAAUUUCAGGUGUAGCGGUGAAAUGCGUAGAGAUCUGAAGGAAUACCCAGUGGCGAAGGCGGCCCCCUGGACAAAGACUGACGCUCAGAUGCGAAAGCGUGGGGAGCAAACAGGAUUAGAUACCCUGGUAGGAUAGCG